GUGAGCGUAGCUCAACCUGGUUAGAGCCCCAGAUUGUGGAUCUGGUUGUUGGGGGUUCAAAUCCCCUCGCUCACC
rnacentral:tRNA from 1 species